CGGCCCUCCCUGGAUUCACACACACACACACACACACACACACACACACACACACACACACACACACACACACACACACACACACAAUCCAACCUGGAGAUUCUCCAUCCUCCAACCUGUGGAUCCUCCUAACCUGCACUUUCGGUGUCCUCGUGGGGUCGAGCAUGACCCCGACCACAACCCCCCCACUGCACAUCCUCACCCACUUGUGGGGUCAGUCGAAAACCCUCCUCCGUUGCCCUCGUGGGGUCUAAAAAUGAGAGCUGCGUGAGGGUUAAGAUGAUCACAUUUUAACCCAAACUAUCGUAUGAAAUUUAACAACUUUAAAAGUCACGUGAAUUUUAAAACAAACUUAUUCUAUGGGCACAUAGCCUAUGGAAAUCAAGGAGGUUCAGUUAUUUCGACAAUUUUAUUGAUUUUCGGAACUAGAGACUUGAUGUCGUGUCCGUGUUUUCUUUUGCAUGUUUUUAACAUCGUAGUGUCCAACGCACCUUGAAUACCGCAGCGGCAGAAGGAUUCGGCCUCAUUGAACAGGUUGAAUCCGCUCCUGAACCGUAGCGUCCAACUCGCAGACAGGCCGGUGAAAAAGCUUGGUCUAUUGGCCAGUCUCUGCACCACCGGAGUCUUUUACUAGAUGGGUAACAUUUUGAACUCGCGUUUCUUAUUUUCGCUCUAAAAACGAUAAUUACUGUAUGUCUGGGCGACACUGAUACAUGCUGGCAAGCAGAGGCAAGAGAAGCAUCUCCUACAACUGCAGGGGUUUCCUUUGGUUAAACAAAUUCUGUCUCUGCUCUUUAAAUUUGUUUCGGUUUGUUCCGUGUAAUUCUAAUUUAACUAUUGGUUGAUUACUAUUUUUGUUUCAGGUGCCCCAACCAACCUUCUUAUCAAGCCUCUCUUCCACCGCUACCACCUCUUAGCAAGCCUCUGGUGGGACGGGUUCAUCCUCUGCGCUGAGACUUAAUUAUGAUAUGCCACAGCAACGUCAGCCCCAAGUAUUGGCUGAGGUGGAGUCAACUUUAGCAGCAGUGAUGCAGCAUCAUAAUGCACAAGACUGCGCCCUACAGAACCUCGCAGCGCAGAUGAAGGCACUCCCUAAAGUUGUGGGCUGUGAGCUGCCACCUACUCGGGAUUUGCUGGUUAUAGACGGACAUGGAUCUACUCUGCAGCUUGCAUUAUUACACGCCAAGUGUGUGUUUCACUGUUUGAUAAAGGGAAGGGAACAAACUCAAUACUUGGUGGAGGAAAGGUUGUCUGCAAUACAUCUGAAUCUGAACUGUGAUAAAGAAAAAUAA
ensembl:lncRNA